CCUACGGGAGGCAGCAGUGGGGAAUAUUGGACAAUGGGCGCAAGCCUGAUCCAGCAAUGCCGCGUGGGUGAAGAAGGUCUUCGGAUUGUAAAGCCCUUUCGGCGGGGACGAUGGUGACGGUACCCGCAGAAGAAGCCCCGGCUAACUUCGUGCCAGCAGCCGCGGUAAUACGAAGGGGGCGAGCGUUGCUCGGAAUGACUGGGCGUAAAGGGCGCGUAGGCGGAUCGCGCAGUCGGGCGUGAAAUCCCCGGGCUCAACCCGGGACGUGCGCCCGAGACGCGUGGUCUGGAGUGGGGGAGAGGGUCGCGGAAUUCCCAGUGUAGAGGUGAAAUUCGUAGAUAUUGGGAAGAACACCGGUGGCGAAGGCGGCGACCUGGCCCUUUACUGACGCUGAGGCGCGACAGCGUGGGGAGCAAACAGGAUUAGAUACCCGAGUAGUC
rnacentral:rRNA from 1 species